rnacentral:rRNA from 1 species
AGUGAACGCUGGCGGUAGGCCUAACACAUGCAAGUCGAACGGCAGCACAGGAGAGCUUGCUCUCUGGGUGGCGAGUGGCGGACGGGUGAGGAAUACAUCGGAAUCUACCUUUUCGUGGGGGAUAACGUAGGGAAACUUACGCUAAUACCGCAUACGACCUACGGGUGAAAGCAGGGGAUCUUCGGACCUUGCGCGAUUGAAUGAGCCGAUGUCGGAUUAGCUAGUUGGCGGGGUAAAGGCCCACCAAGGCGACGAUCCGCAGCUGGUCUGAGAGGAUGAUCCGCCACACUGGAACUGAGACACGGUCCAGACUCCUACGGGAGGCAGCAGUGGGGAAUAUUGGACAAUGGGCGCAAGCCUGAUCCAGCCAUACCGCGUGGGUGAAGAAGGCCUUCGGGUUGUAAAGCCCUUUUGUUGGGAAAGAAAUCCAGCUGGCUAAUACCCGGUUGGGAUGACGGUACCCAAAGAAUAAGCACCGGCUAACUUCGUGCCAGCCGCCGCCGUAACAC